CCAGCCCUGGAUCCCGAGGUCCUCCCGCUUGGUGAUCAGGACUGAACACAGGCAAGGCAACAUGGAGCUUACCAUGUGUUGGGUUUUCCUGUUUGCAAUUUUGAAAGGUGUCCAGUGUGAGGUGCAGCUCGUGGAGUCCGGGGGAGGCUUGGUGCCACCUGGAGGGUCCCUGAAACUCUCCUGCUUGGCCUCAGGAUUCACCUUCAGUAACUAUGGCAUGAACUGGGUCCGCCAGGCUCCAGGAAAGGGGCUAGAGUGGAUCUCCUACAUCAAUAGUGAUAGUAGUUACAUAAGCUACGCAGACUCCGUAAAGGGCCGAUUCACCACCUCCAGAGACAACAACAAGAACACGCUGUAUCUGCAAAUGAGCAGCCUGAGAACCGAGGACACGGCCGUGUAUUACUGUGCAAGAGACACAGUGAGGCGACCUCAGUGUGUGCCCACACACAAACCUCCCUGCAGGGGCGCGCUAGUCCAGCAGGCGUCGCUGUGGUCCAUGGAGAACCAGGCAGGGCCCCAGGAGCAGGUGCAGAGAAGGCAGCAGAGGGAUCAUCCCACCACUACCCCCUUCAUCUGUAGAAUCACCCAGAGCUCCACACCCCGACUGGACCUGCAGAAUCCUCUUCAUGGUGGCAGCUUCAACAGUGCCCAUGCCCAGAUGCAGCUGGUGCAGCCUGGAUCUGAAGUGAGUAGGCCUGGGGCCUCAGUGAAGUCCUCCUGCAAGGCUUCAGGUUACGUUUUAAGGGGCCGCUAUGUGCACUGGAUGGGAUAG